rnacentral:rRNA from 1 species
UGUCCAGACUCCUACGGGAGGCAGCAGUGAGGAAUAUUGGUCAAUGGUCGGGAGACUGAACCAGCCAAGCCGCGUGAGGGAGGAAGGUACAGAGUAUCGUAAACCUCUUUUGUCAGGGAACAAAGGCGGGGACGUGUCCCCGGAUGAGUGUACCUGAAGAAAAAGCAUCGGCUAACUCCGUGCCAGCAGCCGCGGUAAUACGGAAGGGCCGGGCGUUAUCCGGAUUUAUUGGGUUUAAAGGGAGCGUAGGCCGGCUUUUAAGUCAGCUGUGAAAGUCCGCGGCUCAACCGUGGAAUUGCAGUUGAAACUGGAGGCCUUGAGUGCACACAGGGAUGCCGGAAUUCAUGGUGUAGCGGUGAAAUGCUUAGAUAUCAUGAAGAACUCCGAUCGCGAAGGCAAGUGUCCGGGGUGCAACUGACGCUGAGGCUCGAAAGUGCGGGUAUCAAACAGGAUUAGAUACCCCCGUA